UACGUAGGGGGCGAGCGUUGUCCGGAUUUAUUGGGCGUAAAGAGCUCGUAGGCGGUUCGAUAAGUCGGAUGUGAAAUCUCCACGCUCAACGUGGAGGGGCCAUUCGAUACUGUCGUGACUCGAGUCCGGUAGGGGAGUGUGGAAUUCCCGGUGUAGCGGUGAAAUGCGCAGAGAUCGGGAGGAACACCCGUAGCGAAGGCGGCACUCUGGGACGGUACUGACGCUGAGACGCGAAAGCGUGGGGAGCGAACAGG
rnacentral:rRNA from 1 species